UUCAGCUUAUCAUCAUGGCUUGAAUCAAAAUAUUCUUGACUUAGAGGACCUACAGUAUCAACACCAUACACACAAAACGUAUUACUAGGAUACUUCAUAUCGUCAUAAACAUUAAAUUUUACAAUUUCUUCAUCAAAUUUCAUAGUGAGUGUACCAUCCUACACAUCUAUCUUUAUUUUGACUGUACUAAAAAAAGGUCUUCCUAG
rnacentral:lncRNA from 1 species